CAAGAUAUAGCUUAAUAGAUAAAGCAUCCGGCUUACACCCGGAAGAUUUCACCACCAUGAAUAUCUUGA
rnacentral:tRNA from 1 species